rnacentral:rRNA from 1 species
UUUAUGGAGAGUUUGAUCCUGGCUCAGGAUGAACGCUGGCGGCGUGCCUAAUACAUGCAAGUCGAGCGAACGGACGAGAAGCUUGCUUCUCUGAUGUUAGCGGCGGACGGGUGAGUAACACGUGGAUAACCUACCUAUAAGACUGGGAUAACUUCGGGAAACCGGAGCUAAUACCGGAUAAUAUUUUGAACCGCAUGGUUCAAAAGUGAAAGACGGUCUUGCUGUCACUUAUAGAUGGAUCCGCGCUGCAUUAGCUAGUUGGUAAGGUAACGGCUUACCAAGGCAACGAUGCAUAGCCGACCUGAGAGGGUGAUCGGCCACACUGGAACUGAGACACGGUCCAGACUCCUACGGGAGGCAGCAGUAGGGAAUCUUCCGCAAUGGGCGAAAGCCUGACGGAGCAACGCCGCGUGAGUGAUGAAGGUCUUCGGAUCGUAAAACUCUGUUAUUAGGGAAGAACAUAUGUGUAAGUAACUGUGCACAUCUUGACGGUACCUAAUCAGAAAGCCACGGCUAACUACGUGCCAGCAGCCGCGGUAAUACGUAGGUGGCAAGCGUUAUCCGGAAUUAUUGGGCGUAAAGCGCGCGUAGGCGGUUUUUUAAGUCUGAUGUGAAAGCCCACGGCUCAACCGUGGAGGGUCAUUGGAAACUGGAAAACUUGAGUGCAGAAGAGGAAAGUGGAAUUCCAUGUGUAGCGGUGAAAUGCGCAGAGAUAUGGAGGAACACCAGUGGCGAAGGCGACUUUCUGGUCUGUAACUGACGCUGAUGUGCGAAAGCGUGGGGAUCAAACAGGAUUAGAUACCCUGGUAGUCCACGCCGUAAACGAUGAGUGCUAAGUGUUAGGGGGUUUCCGCCCCUUAGUGCUGCAGCUAACGCAUUAAGCACUCCGCCUGGGGAGUACGACCGCAAGGUUGAAACUCAAAGGAAUUGACGGGGACCCGCACAAGCGGUGGAGCAUGUGGUUUAAUUCGAAGCAACGCGAAGAACCUUACCAAAUCUUGACAUCCUUUGACAACUC